rnacentral:tmRNA from 1 species
GGGGAUGAAAUGGCUUCGACGGGGUGAUGGAUUCUGCAAGCUGCAUGUCGAGCUCCACCGGUCUGUGCUCGUUAAUUCAACCGGUAAAGGUAGAAAUGCCAACGAUAAUUACGCAUUGGCUGCUUAAUAAAUAGCAACCACAUUUUUAAGGGAACUUUCCUGCUAGGACCCUUAAAAGUGUCGCCCAAAGCAGGAUAGCUGAUUUCUGUUCGACAGGGGAAAAGGCGAAAUAACACUGUUGAUUGCUUCCGGGGACCUGUUCAUCGGUUAUCCCGAAAGUGAAAAACAUAGAUGAACUAAACAUGUAGUAGCUUCGGAAGAAGCUCUCCGGACGCGGGUUCAACUCCCGCCAUCUCCACAA